rnacentral:rRNA from 1 species
GACGAACGCUGGCGGCGUGCCUAACACAUGCAAGUUGAGCGGAGAUAUAUGGAGCUUGCUUUAUAUAACUUAGCAGCGAACGGGUGAGUAACACGUAGAUAAUCUAUCCUAUACUGGGGGAUAGCCCGAUGAAAGUUGGAUUAAUACCGCAUAUAGCUAUAUAGUUGCAUGAUUAUGUAGUGAAAGAUUUAUUGGUAUAGGAGGAGUCUGCGGCACAUUAGCUAGUAGGUGAGGUAAAGGCUUACCUAGGCGACGAUGUGUAGCCGGUCUGAGAGGAUGAACGGCCACAAUGGAACUGAGACACGGUCCAUACUCCUACGGGAGGCAGCAGUGGGGAAUAUUGCACAAUGGGGGAAACCCUGAUGCAGCAACGCCGCGUGAGUGAAGAAGGUUUUCGGAUUGUAAAGCUCUGUUAGCAGGGAAGAGGAAGGACGGUACCUGCAGAGGAAGCCACGGCUAACUACGUGCCAGCAGCCGCGGUAAUACGUAGGUGGCAAGCGUUGUUCGGAAUAACUGGGCGUAAAGGAUGCGUAGGCGGUUAAACAAGUUAUAUGUUAAAUAUAUAGGCUUAACCUGUAGAAAGCAUAUAAAACUGUUUAACUAGAGUGCAGGAGAGGUAAGUGGAAUUCCUAGUGUAGCGGUGAAAUGCGUAGAGAUUAGGAAGAACACCAGUGGCGAAGGCGACUUACUGGACUGUAACUGACGCUGAGGCAUGAGAGCAUGGGGAGCAAACAGGAUUAGAUACCCUGGUAGUCCAUGCUGUAAACGAUGGGUACUAGGUGUGGGUUGUGAAUAACAAUUCGUGCCGUCGCAAACGCAAUAAGUACCCCGCCUGAGGAGUAUGAUCGCAAGAUUAAAACUCAAAGGAAUUGACGGGGACCCGCACAAGCAGCGGAGCAUGUGGUUUAAUUCGAAGCAACGCGAAGAACCUUACCUAAACUUGACAUACCUUGAAUUACCUUGUAAUGAGGGAAGCUCGCAAGAGCAAGGAUACAGGUGGUGCAUGGUUGUCGUCAGCUCGUGUCGUGAGAUGUUGGGUUAAGUCCCGCAACGAGCGCAACCCUUGUUGUUAAUUGCUAACAGGUCAAGCUGAGCACUUUAGCGAGACAGCCUAGGUUAACUAGGAGGAAGGUGGGGAUGACGUCAAAUCAUCAUGCCCCUUACGUUUAGGGCUACACACGUGCUACAAUGGUGAGAACAGAGAGAAGCAAGCUAGUGAUAGUGAGCAAAACUUAUAAAACUCAUCUCAGUUCGGAUUGCAGGCUGAAACUCGCUCUGUAUGAAGAUGGAGUUGCUAGUAAUCGCGAAUCAGAAUGUCGCGGUGAAUACGUUCCCGGGUCUU